UUGAGGCAGAAGGAAAAUACGAAGUUUUAAAAUUUACAAUAUGAAAGUGAAAAUAGUACUCCUCUUCAUGAGGUUUCUGUUUGUUUCAGGCUUGGGAUAGGGCUCUUGGAGAAGCAGAAAGAAUGUUGGCCAGUGAACUUUGGAGAAAAGAUCUAACUAUACAUUAAUCCUCAUACUCGUUAACUUGAUACCUUGUAAAUAAGGAAAAUAAUGACAAAAAUCAUUGUGAUUCAUUGGAAGGAAACUGCCAUACCCUUUAAAAGUAAUGAAAGCAAGAUUCUAUAUCCUUUGCCUAAUAGAAAGAUAACUUCCUCACUAUUUGACUUGAAACUUUGAUUUCUUGAACAAACGUUUGACCACCUGUUAUCUGACAGAUUCUGGGAGGCACCAGGGAUAUAAGGAAGAAAGACAAUUUCUGCUUUCAAUGAAUUUCAAGUUCAGAGAAGGAGCAUAUGUAUUCAGUGGCAAGGACAAUGUAACAUGGUAAGUGCUGUGAAAAUAGUUAAGCACCAGGUACCAAGUACAGAGGAAGGUGUUCAAAUAUCUGAAAAAAGGUACUUUCCUUCUCCCAGAUUCAGUCCCAUGCCAUCACAACGAGAAGAUAAAGCAAGGUGAUUUCUAAAGACUUCCCACUCUCAUGUUCUAUGGACCUAUGAUUCCAUGAGUCAGGAUUAUCUUAGGGUGAGGAAAAACUGUCUAACCUUCAGCCUACAAUUCUCAUCAAGGAACUACUUUAGGGACUCCCAAUUCUUUAUGGCUGUCUCUUACAUUUUCAUUCCUGGAUUCUUGGGAAGAAUAGAGUCCAGUCAUAUCUGGAGACUCAGGUUGGGUUUGACAUCUAAGAGAGCUUGGGUCUUCCAUCUAACUUCUCUAUCCUUCAAUCUUUUCUAUGAUACCGCCCUUCCAGAAGUCCUCUAUGUAGAUGCCAACCUUGGUGUUGCUGAAUGAAUCCACAGCCCUGAGGAGCUGAAAUUCUAGGCACAGGCCUAGUUGGAACUGCUUCUGAUGGGAGUUUAUGUGUAUUUCAGAGGAGAAGUCUUAUGAACUUGGGUUUGAUAUGCCCAGAAAUGGAUCCAUAGCAACUUCCAGGAGAAGAUAGUCACACCAGACAAUUGAACAAAUUUUUGGUGGUUGCACCUGGACACUGAAGCCACCGUUUUCCAGAUUGUUUGCUUGGUUGUUUCCUCUGCCAGAUAUCUAUGUUUAUUGCUCUACCCUGAGGCUCAUCAUCUCAGGAAUCAGUGAAAUGUUUCCAAGAAUGGAUGGAACAGAUGUUGGGCAUGAGGCUGAGACACGCCCUGGAAGGU